rnacentral:rRNA from 1 species
GACGAACUGUCCUAACGUUGUUCGGAAUCACUGGGCUUAAAGGGCGCGUAGGCGGUCCGACAAGUCAGGGGUGAAAUACUGCAGCUCAACUGUAGAAGUGCCUUUGAUACUGUCGGUCUCGAGGGAGAUAGGGGUGUGCGGAACUUCCAGUGGAGCGGUGAAAUGCGUUGAUAUUGGAAGGAACGCCGGUGGCGAAAGCGGCGCACUGGAUCUCUUCUGACGCUGAGGCGCGAAAGCUAGGGGAGCAAACGGG